rnacentral:rRNA from 1 species
AGUGAACGUUGGCGGCGUGGAUUAGGCAUGCAAGUCGAACGAGAUCUGUAGCAAUACAGUGAGAGUGGCGAAAGGGAGAGUAAUACGUAGGUACCUGCCCUCGGGUCUGGGAUAGCUGCGGGAAACUGCAAUUAAUACCGGAUGACGUCUCUGGACCAAAGGUGUGAUUCCGCCAGGGGAUGGGCCUGCGUCCUAUCAGCUAGUUGGUGUGGUAAUGGCGCACCAAGGCUAAGACGGGUACGGGGUGUGAGAGCAUGCCCCCGCUCACUGGGACUGAGAUACUGCCCAGACACCUACGGGUGGCUGCAGUCGAGAAUCUUCCGCAAUGGGCGCAAGCCUGACGGAGCGACGCCGCGUGUGGGAUGAAGGCCUUCGGGUUGUAAACCACUGUCAGUGGGGAGCAAAUGCAUCAGGGUUCUCCCUGGUGUUUGAGCGAUCCGCAGAGGAAGCACAGGCUAAUUCCGUGCCAGCAGCCGCAGUAACAC